UCGUAACAAGGUUUCCGUAGGUGAACCUGCGGAAGGAUCAUUAAUUAUGUUAAAGCGCCUUACCUUAGGGUUUCCUCUGGGGUAAGUGAUUGCUUCUACACUGUGAAAAUUUGGCUGAGAGACUCAGACUGGUCAUGGGUAGACCUAUCUGGGGUUUGAUCGAUGCCACUCCUGGUUUCAGGAGUACCCUUCAUAAUAAACCUAGAAAUUCAGUAUUAUAAAGUUUAAUAAAAAACAACUUUUAACAAUGGAUCUCUUGGUUCUCGCAUCGAUGAAGAACGUAGCAAAGUGCGAUAACUAGUGUGAAUUGCAUAUUCAGUGAAUCAUCGAGUCUUUGAACGCAGCUUGCACUCUAUGGUUUUUCUAUAGAGUACGCCUGCUUCAGUAUCAUCACAAACCCACACAUAACAUUUGUUUAUGUGGUGAUGGGUCGCAUCGCUGUUUUAUUACAGUGAGCACCUAAAAUGUGUGUGAUUUUCUGUCUGGCUUGCUAGGCAGGAAUAUUACGCUGGUCUCAGGAUCUUUUUUUUUGGUUCGCCCAGGAAGUAAAGUACAAGAGUAUAAUCCAGUAACUUUCAAACUAUGAUCUGAAGUCAGGUGGGAUUACCCGCUGAACCUAAGCAUAUC
rnacentral:misc_RNA from 1 species